rnacentral:rRNA from 1 species
GAUGAACGCUAGCGAUAGGCUUAACACAUGCAAGUCGAGGGGCAGCAUGGUCUUAGCUUGCUAAGGCUGAUGGCGACCGGCGCACGGGUGCGUAACGCGUAUGCAACUUGCCUCACAGAGGGGGAUAACCCGUCGAAAGACGGACUAAUACCGCGUACACUCUAUGUUGGGCAUCCAAUGUAGAGGAAAUGAAAUUCGCUGUGAGAUAGGCAUGCGUCCCAUUAGCUAGUUGGUGAGGUAACGGCUCACCAAGGCGACGAUGGGUAGGGGAACUGAGAGGUUGAACCCCCACACUGGUACUGAGACACGGACCAGACUCCUACGGGAGGCAGCAGUGAGGAAUAUUGGUCAAUGGGCGAGAGCCUGAACCAGCCAAGUCGCGUGAAGGAUGACUGUCUUAUGGAUGGUAAACUUCUUUUAUACGGGAAUAACAAGAGUCACGUGUGGCUCCCUGCAGGUACCGUAUGAAUAAGCAUCGGCUAACUCCGUG